rnacentral:piRNA from 1 species
UACAGAAAAGUCUCAACAGCCGAAUGGUAUU